rnacentral:lncRNA from 1 species
UAUAUAUAUAAAAGCCCAAUGCUUAUGACCCAUUUAGUGACCUUGUGACCCGUUCCUCCCAAAUUCUCAAUUGAUUACUGUUCGAUUCAAUCACAAAAUCACUUCAACCCUUCGUGACUUCGUCCCUUCGCACUAUCCAUCACUGCCUGUCUUUCCCCUUCCCAUCUUCGACGGCACGUCCUCCUGGAGCCGGUCAGACUUGCUCCCAUCUCCGACCGACUCUACGUUCUCCUCCGGCUCCGAGUUUUGAUCUCCGUUGGAUCGUUGUAGUCUUGCAGACUAGCAGGCAACGCCUGCGCAUGACAGCAGCUUCGCCAAUCGCUCAUUAAAUUGUAACAGAAGAAGGUGAUUUUGAUUUUUGAAUCGGUUGGGUAGCCAGCAGAAUUAAAAGGUUAAAGCCCCAAUUUCCACCAGUGACUUUGAAUUUUUUUUCCUAUUUUUGUUAUUUUGAUUUGUGUAAAUUGUAAUAAUAUUUUUUUUGUUCUUAGCAUGCGAAAUUAGCGCUUUAUUCUUUAAUUGCUCAAAGCAGCACUUCGUACACGUUGCUCUUCAAUUGAUUUUGGCACAGACUUCCAGUGGACCAGUUCAUUGUUGCAUCUGACUCUCUACAAAUAUGCGAUUGUAAGUUGCUUACACUGUCACUUGGAAGUUGAAACUUGGAAAAUAGUAUAUAUUGCAUUGUAAAGUUGUGAAUUGCACUGGAUUGAUAGUAUAUAUUGCACUGUGAUUGUGAAUUCAUUAUUUGAAAGUGUGAAUUGGAAUGUAAAUUGAUUAUGUGAAGUAGUGAAUUGCACUGGAUCAUUAAAUCUAUGACCAAAACCUCAACGUCCGGCGUUGAAAAUUUUUUGCCCGUGCUGAACUAAAAUCCUGGCUAUGCCCCUGAUUUGUUUGUUAUAUUGCCUUCUUCAAAAAUAAUAAAAUAACACUAUUUUAGAAUAUUAAUUAUUAUAGAUUGAUUCAAAUAAUUAUGCAAUAUUCUUCUGAUAUAUUAUAAAGUAUGUUUGUUCUUGAGCAAUAGGUCAACAUUCUUUGGGAAUAUUGAGUAAUGCCA